UACGAAGGGGGCUAGCGUUGUUCGGAAUUACUGGGCGUAAAGCGCACGUAGGCGGAUUGUUAAGUCAGAGGUGAAAUCCCGGAGCUCAACUUCGGAACUGCCUUUGAUACUGGAGAGCUUGAGUCCGGAAGAGGUGAGUGGAACUCCGAGUGUAGAGGUGAAAUUCGUAGAUAUUCGGAAGAACACCAGUGGCGAAGGCGGCUCACUGGUCCGGUACUGACGCUGAGGUGCGAAAGCGUGGGGAGCAAACAGG
rnacentral:rRNA from 1 species